GAGAGGGAGAAAACAGAGGAAUGGGAGGUAGACAGGGAGAGGGAGGGGGAUUAUGAGGAAGAAACUGGACAGCCGUAUCCAUAUCCAGCACAUUGUUUUUAUCUAAAGGGACAACCAGGUGAAACUGGAAAACCAGGAUCAAAGGGAGAAAUUGGUGCAAAAAGGACAAAAGGGGGAACCAGGCAUCGGCCACAGAGGACCAGAAGGUCAGGCUGGUCUUCCAGGACAGAAGGGUGAACCGGGUGAGCUGGGUCCCCAGGUGCACAGGGAUCCAGGGUAUCCGUGGUAAUCCAGGCACUCAAGGCUCUCCAGGCAUGAAGGGCUCCCAAGGGGACCCUGGAGAGCCAGGUAAAGAGG